rnacentral:rRNA from 1 species
UACGAAGGGGGCGAGCGUUAUUCGGAAUCACUGGGCGUAAAGCGUGCGUAGGCUGUUUGGUAAGUUGGAAGUGAAAGCCCAGGGCUCAACCUUGGAAUUGCUUUCAAGACUGCCAGACUCGAAUCCGGGAGAGGAUAGCGGAAUUUCCAGUGUAGUAGUGAAAUACGUAGAUAUUGGAAGGAACACCAGUGGCGUAAGCGGCUAUCUGGACCGGCAUUGACGCUGAGGCACGAAAGCGUGGGGAUCAAAC